UACAGAGGUCUCAAGCGUUUGUUCGGAUUCAUUGGGCGUAAAGGGUGUGUAGGUGGCGCGCUAAGUCGGGUGUGAAAUUUCGGAGCUUAACUCCGAAACUGCAUUCGAUACUGGCGUGCUUUGAGGACUGGAGAGGAGACUGGAAUUCAUGGUGUAGCAGUGAAAUGCGUAGAGAUCAUGAGGAAGACCAGUGGCGAAGGCGGGGUCUCUGGACAGUUUCCCUGACACUGAGGCACGAAAGGCCCAGGGGGGAGCAAAACGGGG
rnacentral:rRNA from 1 species